rnacentral:rRNA from 1 species
CUACUUGACUAGCUGAGAGGAGGUGCAUGGCCGUCGUCAGUUCGUACUGUGAAGCAUCCUGUUAAGUCAGGCAACGAGCGAGACCCACGCCAACAGUUGCCAGCUCGUCCUCCGGGGAUGGUGGGGACACUGUUGGGACCGCCUCUGCUAAAGAGGAGGAAGGAAUGGGCAACGGUAGGUCAGCAUGCCCCGAAUUAUCUGGGCUACACGCGGGCUACAAUGGGUGGGACAAUGGGUAUCGACACCGAAAGGUGAAGGCAAUCUCCUAAACCCAUCCGUAGUUCGGAUUGUGGGCUGCAACUCGCCCACAUGAAGCUGGAAUCUGUAGUAAUCGUGUCUCAAAAUGGCACGGUGAAUAUGUCCCUGCUCCUU